GACGAACGCUGGCGGCAGGCUUAACACAUGCAAGUCGAACGAUGUAGCAAUACAUAGUGGCGCACGGGUGAGUAACGCGUGGGAAUAUACCUUGUAGUGGGGAAUAACGUUGGGAAACUAACGCUAAUACCGCAUACGCCCGAGAGGGGAAAGAUUUAUCGCUAUAAGAUUAGCCCGCGUGAGAUUAGGUAGUUGGUGGGGUAAUGGCCUACCAAGCCUACGAUCUCUAGCUGGUCUGAGAGGAUGAUCAGCCACACUGGAACUGAGACACGGUCCAGACUCCUACGGGAGGCAGCAGUGGGGAAUAUUGGGCAAUGGAGGAAACUCUGACCCAGCCAUGCCGCGUGAAUGAUGAAGGCCUUAGGGUUGUAAAGUUCUUUCGCCGAUGAAGAUAAUGACGGUAGUCGGAGAAGAAGCCCCGGCUAACUUCGUGCCAGCCGCCGCAGUAA
rnacentral:rRNA from 1 species